AGUGAAUGCUGGCGGUAGGCCUAACACAUGCAAGUCGAACGGCAGCACAGUAAGAGCUUGCUCUUACGGGUGGCGAGUGGCGGACGGGUGAGGAAUACAUCGGAAUCUACUUUUUCGUGGGGGAUAACGUAGGGAAACUUACGCUAAUACCGCAUACGACCUACGGGUGAAAGCAGGGGAUCUUCGGACCUUGCGCGAUUGAAUGAGCCGAUGUCGGAUUAGCUAGUUGGCGGGGUAAAGGCCCACCAAGGCGACGAUCCGUAGCUGGUCUGAGAGGAUGAUCAGCCACACUGGAACUGAGACACGGUCCAGACUCCUACGGGAGGCAGUAGUGGGGAAUAUUGGACAAUGGGCGCAAGCCUGAUCCAGCCAUACCGCGUGGGUGAAGAAGGCCUUCGGGUUGUAAAGCCCUUUUGUUGGGAAAGAAAAGCAGCAGGUUAAUACCCCGCUGUUCUGACGGUACCCAAAGAAUAAGCACCGGCUAACUUCGUG
rnacentral:rRNA from 1 species